rnacentral:misc_RNA from 1 species
CGCACCUUGCGCUCCUUGGUAUUCCUUGGAGCAUGCUUGUUUGAGCGUCGUGAAUUUCUCCAACCUAAGCGUUUUGCGCUUAGUGCGGGUCCAUGGGUUUGCAGGCCACCACACUUGCUCACCUUAAAUACAGUAUGCUGGACAACCAGUGAGUUGCUAAUUUCUUUGCUAACUUACGUCGGUGUUGUCCGCUUCUAACCCCACACACGACUGGCGACGAUCCGUCGUUGCCUGGUCUAUUAUUUUGACCUCAAAUCAAGUAGGACUACCCGCUGAACUUAA